GAUGAACGCUAGCUACCGGUUUAACACAUGCAAGUCGAGGGGCAGCAUUUUAGUUUGCUUGCAAACUAAAGAUGGCGACCGGCGCACGGGUGAGUAACACGUAUCCAACCUGCCGAUAACUCGGGGAUAGCCUUUCGAAAGAAAGAUUAAUAUCCGAUAGUAUAUUAGAACCGCAUGGUUUUACUAUUAAAGAAUUUCGGUUAUCGAUGGGGAUGCGUUCCAUUAGUUUGUUGGCGGGGUAACGGCCCACCAAGACUACGAUGGAUAGGGGUUCUGAGAGGAAGGUCCCCCACAUUGGAACUGAGACACGGUCCAAACUCCUACGGGAGGCAGCAGUGAGGAAUAUUGGUCAAUGGACGAGAGUCUGAACCAGCCAAGUAGCGUGAAGGAUGACUGCCCUAUGGGUUGUAAACUUCUUUUAUAUGGGAAUAAAGUAUUCCACGUGUGGGAUUUUGUAUGUACCAUAUGAAUAAGGAUCGGCUAACUCCGUGCCAGCAGCCGCGGUAAUACGGAGGAUCCGAGCGUUAUCCGGAUUUAUUGGGUUUAAAGGGAGCGUAGGUGGAUUGUUAAGUCAGUUGUGAAAGUUUGCGGCUCAACCGUAAAAUUGCAGUUGAAACUGGCAGUCUUGAGUACAGUAGAGGUGGGCGGAAUUCGUGGUGUAGCGGUGAAAUGCUUAGAUAUCACGAAGAACUCCGAUUGCGAAGGCAGCUCACUAGACUGCAACUGACACUGAUGCUC
rnacentral:rRNA from 1 species